rnacentral:rRNA from 1 species
GAUGAACGCUAGCUACAGGCUUAACACAUGCAAGUCGAGGGGCAGCAUGGUCUUAGCUUGCUAAGGCCGAUGGCGACCGGCGCACGGGUGAGUAACACGUAUCCAACCUACCGUCUACUCUUGGACAGCCUUCUGAAAGGAAGAUUAAUACAAGAUGGCAUCAUGAGUCCGCAUGUUCACAUGAUUAAAGGUAUUCCGGUAGACGAUGGGGAUGCGUUCCAUUAGAUAGUAGGCGGGGUAACGGCCCACCUAGUCUUCGAUGGAUAGGGGUUCUGAGAGGAAGGUCCCCCACAUUGGAACUGAGACACGAUCCAAACUCCUACGGGAGGCAGCAGUGAGGAAUAUUGGUCAAUGGGCGAGAGCCUGAACCAGCCAAGUAGCGUGAAGGAUGACUGCCCUAUGGGUUGUAAACUUCUUUUAUAAAGGAAUAAAGUCGGGUAUGGAUACCCGUUUGCAUGUACUUUAUGAAUAAGGAUCGGCUAACUCCGUG